AACGCACAUUGCGCCCUCUGGUAUUCCGGGGGGCAUACCUGUCCGAGCGUCAUAUCUAAACUCGAGCGCUGCUUGGUCCUAGGUCAGGCUCGCGAGAGCCGUCCAAAAUUACAGUGGUGGCCACUGAGAGUGUCUGAGCGAUGUGAGUAACAAGCGCUUUGGACAUCUCAGGUCUCCACCAGAUAAUCCCUCAGAUAGUUGACCUCGGAUCAGGUAGGGAUACCCGCUGAACUUAA
rnacentral:misc_RNA from 1 species